CGCGUGGUGUCCGGUGCGCCCCC
rnacentral:siRNA from 1 species